rnacentral:lncRNA from 1 species
CUACUCAUAUUUACAUAUCCACCCCUCAUUCCCUCGCCCUCCCAUCCUUCCAUGUUCCCCACCAACCCCCCAACUCCUCCCCAGGAACAGUGAGGCCCUCCAAGAGGGACCUUCAAAGUCUGUCAUAUCAUUUAGGGGAGAGCCUAGGACCUCCUUGCUGUAUCUGAGCUGCAAUAGUAUCCCUCCAUAGGGAGUGGCCUACCAAAGUCCAUUUGUGAUCUAGGGAUAAAGACUGGCUCCACUGUUAGAGAGGUCCCAUAGGCUGUCUUGGCCUCCUUUCUGGCACCCACAUUCAGAGGGCUUGGUUCAGUCCAAUGCUGUUUCUGCAGCUUUAUGACUAGGGUCUCCAUGCUCUCACUAGGUCAGCUCAACAGUUUCUGUGGGUUUCUGCAGCACCGUCUUGGCUCCUUUGCUCAUCUCUCCUCCCUCUCCACAAUUGGAUUCCAGUAGUAUGGUUCAGUGCUUAGCUGUGGGUGCUGGUCUCUGCUUCGAACAGCUACUGGAUGAAGGCUUUAGGAAUGAACAUGUGUUACUUAAUGAUUUAAAAACUGUGAGAUUAGGUACCAAUAUUACCAUCAUCAAAUCUGAAAAAAUUAGGAAACUAAGAAACUUGUCUAAUAUAACAAAGCAAUACCAGGUAGAGCUCAGAUCCAAGUCAAAGUGGUGUGGUUCUAGAGUCCGCAGAAAAGUUGCCAGCAAUCUAGAGUGUAGGGAGACAGCCUAGCCCGGCCCAAUAGUCCCAGGACAGGUGCCAGGUGGACCCAGGACUGGCCCAUAAGGGUGUGGUGAAGGAAAGCCGGGGUGAUGUAAGGAAUGGUUCUUAAGGGCUGCAUGUGGAGACCCUGGCCCCUUCUCUCUGGCUGUGCUAGCUUGGUUCCUGUGACCUUGCUCUGGCCUGCGUUUUGCCCUGGUGCUUUCUUGAAUAAAGAAAUCUUACCAUCACAGACUAUAGUUCAUCUCUGGGCGCACGUGGAAAUCCUAAGACUGGAGUGUCUUAGAUUUACUUUAUUUUUAACUGUGUAUAUGUGAGGGAUGGUGUGUACCUGAUUGCAGUUGUUCUCAGAGGUGACUGACAUUGGAGACCCUGAAACUGUAGUGGCAGAUGGUUGUAAGCUGCCCCAUGUGGGUGCUUG